GACGAACGCUGGCGGCGUGCUUAACACAUGCAAGUCGAACGAAGUGGCGAACGGGUGAGUAACGCGUAAUCAACCUGCCCUUCAGGGGGGGACAACAGUUGGAAACGACUGCUAAUACCGCAUACUGAAGGAGGGGAUUGGGUCGGAUUAGCUAGUUGGAGGGGUAACGGCCCACCAGGGCGAAGAUAAGUAGGCGGGCUGAGAGGAUGAACGGCCACAUUGGGACUGGAAACCGGCCCAGACUCCUACGGGAGGGAGCAGUGGGGAAUCUUCCGCAAUGGGCGAAAGUCUGACGGAGCAACGCCGCGGGAGUGAUGACGGCCUUCGGGUUGUAAAGCUCUGUUAAUCGGGACGCGGUACCGGAAUAGAAAGCCACGGCUAACUACGUGCCAGCAGCCGCGGUAAUUC
rnacentral:rRNA from 1 species